AUGUCGGUUUCACUAUUGGCAACCGCUCUUUGUAACCGCCUUUGUAUCCGGGUAUAUAUACCCCAAACUUCAUCAAUGAAAGUAACUAUUCCAUCAUUUGCUCCUGCCUCUCUCAUUUUACUUUCACACGUUAUCAGCACGCCUAUGCCGAGAGCCUCGACGAAGAACUCCGAUGAAUUCGUUUCUCCGGAUACGCUGGAACAACCUUCUCCUCGUUUCUUCUUUUCGUCGACCCCGUCGUCCUCUACGACGAUCUAUCCAUCAAUCAUCAACCAAUUAAAUUGGCAGUUCCUUCUCAAUCUUAGAUUCCUUUUCAUCGCAGAUGCAAAGAGUAAGAAGGCCACCAUGAGAAGAAAGCACAAAAUCCUGAGAAUUUACAAUUUCUUGCAUCUACCAUGA
rnacentral:rRNA from 1 species